UGCGGUAGGGGAGACUGGAAUUCCCGGUGUAACGGUGGAAUGUGUAGAUAUCGGGAAGAACACCAAUGGCGAAGGCAGGUCUCUGGGCCGUCACUGACGCUGAGGAGCGAAAGCGUGGGGAGCGAACAGGAUUAGAUACCCUGGUAGUCCACGCCGUAAACGGUGGAUGCUGGAUGUGGGGACCAUUCCACGGUCUCCGUGUCGGAGCCAACGCGUUAAGCAUCCCGCCUGGGGAGUACGGCCGCAAGGCUAAAACUCAAAGAAAUUGACGGGGGCCCGCACAAGCGGCGGAGCAUGCGGAUUAAUUCGAUGCAACGCGAAGAACCUUACCUGGGCUUGACAUGUUCCCGACAGCCGUAGAGAUACGGUCUCCCUUCGGGGCGGGUUCACAGGUGGUGCAUGGUCGUCGUCAGCUCGUGUCGUGAGAUGUUGGGUUAAGUCCCGCAACGAGCGCAACCCUCGCCCUGUGUUGCCAGCACGUCGUGGUGGGAACUCACGGGGGACCGCCGGGGUCAACUCGGAGGAAGGUGGGGAUGACGUCAGAUCAUCAUGCCCCUUACGUCCAGGGCUUCACGCAUGCUACAAUGGCCGGUACAACGGGAUGCGACACCGCGAGGUGGAGCGGAUCCCUUAAAACCGGUCUCAGUUCGGAUUGGAGUCUGCAACCCGACUCCAUGAAGGCGGAGUCGCUAGUAAUCGCGGAUCAGCAACGCCGCGGUGAAUGCGUUCCCGGGCCUUGUACACACCGCCCGUCAAGUCAUGAAAGUGGGUAGCACCCGAAGCCGGUGGCCCAACCUUUUUGGGGGGAGCCGUCUAAGGUGAGACUCGUGAUUGGGACUAAGUCGUAACAAGGUAGCCGUACCGGAAGGUGCGGCUG
rnacentral:rRNA from 1 species